rnacentral:rRNA from 1 species
AGCGAACGCUGGCGGCAGGCCUAACACAUGCAAGUCGAGCGCCCGUAGCAAUACGGGAGCGGCAGACGGGUGAGUAACACGUGGGAACGUACCCUUCGGUUCGGAAUAACCCAGGGAAACUUGGAUUAAUACCGAAUACGUCCGUAAGGAGAAAGAUUUAUCGCCGAAGGAUCGGCCCGCGUCCGAUUAGCUUGUUGGUGGGGUAAUGGCCCACCAAGGCUGCGAUCGGUAGCUGGUCUGAGAGGAUGAUCAGCCACACUGGGACUGAGACACGGCCCAGACUCCUACGGGAGGCAGCAGUGGGGAAUAUUGGACAAUGGGGGAAACCCUGAUCCAGCAAUGCCGCGUGAGUGAAGAAGGCCUUAGGGUUGUAAAGCUCUUUCGGCGGGACGAUGGUGACGGUACCCGNAGAAGAAGCCCCGGCUAACUUCGUGCCAGCAGCCGCAGUAAC